GGCUGGGCUAUCCCCUAAUAGUCUAACUCAGUUGCCAGAGCAACAACAAGAUUCUGUUACCACGACAACCAAAUACACAACACCCCACUAUCCCAGUAUUUGUCUGUAACCAGCCCUGGGUGCUGGGACAAGGGAGAGGAAGAUAACCUGCACCUGCAAUCUUACCCUGUCUGUGUGCUCCUGUCUCUGGUUCAGAUAGCAGAGUGUCUGGAGAUGGAAAGGAUAAAAGAGAGGUGUGAAACAGGGAAGUUCCAGCAGCUGGAGGACACGUCUCCUGAUCUGGAAAUCAGUCUUGGUUAUUGGUGCCAAGAAAACCGGUGCUCUGAAGGAGACUGAGGAAAAUCAAAGGUACCGAGAAGGGAGCUAGGGGGGAAACGUUUCGGACUUCCGGAAGUGACGGGCUCUGACCAAUUAGUGGCAAUAGAUGCUAACAUAAAACUGAAACAAAUCAGAGUGAACCAAUAAAUUAUCAUUCCUGACUCAGGGGAAAAGGCUGGGUGGGGCCAUGUGCCAAGGCAACAGCAAACGGUUCAUAAUCUGCAGUCAUUUGAAUGUGAUUCAUUUUUCCACUAACAAGUUUCUCUGAAGUGGUGAGAAAUCCAGGGUCCGGGGAAGGGAGCCGUGGCCCAUUCUCCUGUCGGACAGUCCAGUUGUGGCUUAGUCCUGUUUAUACAUAGAGAAAAGAGUCCAAUACAAACAGUUUAAUCCAGCGAGAAAGUCAGUCCAUUGGCGGAUAGAGCCGGGAGCUGGUGGGGGGCAGAGCUGGAUUCUACCUCACUGUCUGACCUCUCCCUGUCUCGAUCGUUACAGUGUGGAGAGGAACAAUGACAGACCCCACAGGCGGGUGCUGGUUUGGUGCUUAACCACACGGCGAAGGACCGAGAGCCCCAAAUUCCCCCUGGUGUUUUGGGAGCCAAGUUUGCUGUUUGAAUUCUGCAGUUCAGAUGACGUCAGGCCUGGGCAUUUCUCUGGCCUUAGGGGGUGCUUUGGUCACAGCUCUGAUGGCCGAGUGGCGAAGGUGUUGGACUCAGAAUUCAAGAGGGUUUCCCUGUGCAGGUUCAAAUCCUGCUCACAGCAAGGCCUGUGUUUUAGCCACAGCCUGUCUAAGAGGCCAGGGGUGGCUGAGCCUCCCCCAAAUGGCCGCCCAUGCAGGGGGGAACACUGGGGAUGUGGGGCGAGUCAAUCCUCCGUGGGCCCAUUGUCAUCUUUCGAGUGCUGGACGCGAAGCUCCAGAGAAGUGGGGGCCCAGCCUGCACCCUUUUCCGCUCUGCCACUUAACCCGAUGCCCUGCUCUGCCUCCUCCCAU